rfam:Stegodyphus mimosarum contig20363, whole genome shotgun sequence.
GCUUUCGUAGUGUAGUAGUGGUCAGCACACUCGGCGCGUAUUCGAGAGAUCCGUGGUUCGAGUCCCGGCGACAGCA